UACGGAGGGAGCUAGCGUUGUUCGGAAUCACUGGGCGUAAAGCGCACGUAGGCGGCUACUCAAGUCAGAGGUGAAAGCCCGGGGCUCAACCCCGGAAUUGCCUUUGAAACUAGGUGGCUAGAAUCUUGGAGAGGCGAGUGGAAUUCCGAGUGUAGAGGUGAAAUUCGUAGAUAUUCGGAAGAACACCAGUGGCGAAGGCGACUCGCUGGACAAGUAUUGACGCUGAGGUGCGAAAGCGUGGGGAGCAAACAGG
rnacentral:rRNA from 1 species